AUCCACUGCUUGAAUAGCAGAAAUGUAUGUCCUGGUCUUCGGAGUCGGGGGACACUUUAAUAAUGAUCAUUAAAUUUGAUCAGCCGACUUAAACUUGUUGUCUACGGAAACCAAUUAACAGAUGGAGUCUCACUCUGUCACCAGGCUGGAGUGCAGUGGCAUGAUCUCAGUUUACCGCAACCUCUGCCUCCUGGGUUUAAGCGAUUCUCCUGCCUUAGCCUCCCAAGUAGCUGGGACUACAGGCGCGCACCACCACGCCCAGAAAAAUUGGAACAGAAAAAUAUCUAACUUGCUGAGCAUUUGAUGGGAAAAAGUAAAAGAUAACUUCCAUUUGGUACACAACUUAUUGUACAUAGAGCUAUGAUUUGAGGAGGCAUCUAAUUUCUGAACAAAUUCACCAAGAAAUACCAUCACUUAAAGUCAUUAUCGCAAUCAUGCUGCAGUGAACACUCUAUACAAAAUGGCCAGGUCAUUAAACAUCAAAGAUGGAAAACAAGCCAGCAAUCUCUUCUGUUCUCUUCAAAGUGAAUGCAAAAUUGUUAAGGUAAUAAAAGCAAGAGGGGAAAAUCCCCAAAUGGCAUUCUUAGUGAUGAACAGAACUCACAGAUCAACAGAGGAGAGAGGGG